AUACCUUACCCUGGCGUAGGGGCUACCGUGAUCAUGAAGGCGGUUCCUCCGGGGUGAGGCUCUUCCAUUAUUGCACUUCGGUCGAGCUGACCCCCGCGAUUACUCCAAAUGUGAGUAACUCGGGCGCAUAAUUUUUGGUAGUCGGGACUUGCGUUCGCGCUGUCCCGG